ensembl:snoRNA
AUUCUUUUGCAGUUCCUCAGUAUGAUGAUGGGGGCUCAUGCAUCUCUGUGACCUGCUCCUCCCUCAAUCCUUGCUAUGACUUGAGCACAUUACCCAUCUGCCA